CAGACACAGGGCAUGGAAUGAGUCUCAAAACUUUCUAAUGGUUACAAUAAAAGAACAAAUGUUCAACAGUUUCUAUUUCACUGUUACAUGUUAAAUGUGCAGUUAUUGGUCUCCAUAUUAAAACGCUUUUUUCAACAAUUCAUUGCAGGGGUAAAUAUCAUUUUAAAUUUUAAAAUUAGUUUCUUUGGCUUUAGGGGAGAUUGGAAAUGAGAGAAACGCAAUCCACCGCCCUGAACGAGCCGACUCAACAGCGCCUCCUGGAACUGGAGUUCUAAGGCAAACAUGAGAUGGGUGAGGAAGUCCCAGCCAAAGAGGAGACACAGGGAGGAGAGAAGAGCAGAAGAAAGAGGAGCAGACGAGCACAGGAGCAGAGGAGAGGAACAGAAGAGAGAAAAGCAGAGGAGAGAGGAACAGAAGAAAGGAGAGAGGAGCAGAUGAACACAGGAGCAGAGGAGAGGAACAGAUGAG